AACGAACGCUGGCGGCAGGCCUAACACAUGCAAGUCGAGCGAGGACUUCGGUCGUAGCGGCGGACGGGUGAGUAACGCGUGGGAACGUGCCCUUUGCUUCGGCAUAGCGCUAGGAAACUGGGAGUAAUACCGGAUGAGACCUUUGGGGGAAAGAUUUAUCGGCGAAGGUGCGGCCCGCGUUGGAUUAGGUAGUUGGUGGGGUAAUGGCCUACCACGCCGCCGAUCCAUAGCUGGGUAGAGAGGAUGAUCAGCCACACUUGGACUGAGACACGGCCCAGACUCUUACGGGAGGCAGGAGUGGCGAAUCGUAGACCACGGCGGAAACGAUGAUGGAGCCCGGCCGCGUGAGCGAUGAAGGCCGGAGGGUUGUAAAGCGCUUUCAGCUGGGAAGAUAAUGACGGUACCAGCAGAAGAAGCCCCGGCUAACUCCGUG
rnacentral:rRNA from 1 species